CACCCGCGCCAGGGAACUACGAGCUUUAGCUUAAAACCCAAAGGACUUGACGGUGUCCCACCCAACUAGAGGAGCCUGUUCUAUAAUCGAUGACCCCCGCUCCACCCAACCCCCCCUUGCUUUAUCAGCCUGUAUACCUCCGUCGUAAACCCGCCGUAUGAAUGUACCCAAGCGGAUUUAAUGGUUCCACACCAACACGUCAGGUCAAGGUGCAGCCAAUGGGAGAGGUAAGUGAUGGGCUACAAUUUCUAGUCUAGAACAAACGAAAUUCUGCAUGAAACACAGUUAUGAAGGAGGAUUUAGUAGUAAAAAGAAAGUAGCGUGUUCUUUUUAACAUGGCCCUGGGACGUGUACACACCGCCCG
rnacentral:rRNA from 1 species